UUUUGUUUUGCUAUUUUUUUAUUAACGAUUUAUUUAAUUAUUUAUUUUUUUGUAGUUCACUAUACUGGGACGUUGCUUGAUGGGCGCAAGUUUGAUUCCAGCAGAGACAGGGGAACUCCAUUCAGUUUCACGCUUGGACAAGGGCAAGUUAUUAAAGGAUGUGAUCAAGGUAUUAUAACAAUGAAGAAAGGUGAGAAUGCCCUUUUCACCAUCCCAGCUGAGCUAGCUUAUGGUGAAUCUGGUUUUCCUUCAAAGAUUCCUCCCAAUGCAACUCUUCAAUUUGACGUGGAGCUUCUGUCUUGGACUUAGUGUGAAGGACAUAUGCAAGCAUAUGAGCUCGCCUAACCCUUUGAACGGAUCAGGGAGAAGUUGAAGUCUGGAAAUUAUGACAAAGUUGAAGAUUGUUGUUUGUUGCUUUUAGUGUUUAGGGUUUAAAAUUUUGUAUUUAGACUGUAUUGGUAAUUUAUGAUGUAGCAGACUUUUGAGAUUAUGUUUUGCAUGACAAUAUUAAUUGGUUAUCAUAUGACAAUACUUAAUGUAGGAGACUAUUAUUAUUGUGAUUUACAACAGUUGGCUACUUAUAGUUUAACAAAUGUAAUACGCUAUUA